UNGGAAGCCUUGGACUUACUGACUCCUG
rnacentral:piRNA from 1 species